CAUGCAGGAGAACUAUGAGAAUGUGACCUCGCUGGGGUUUCCAGUUUCCAAACCUGAUGUGAUCUCCCAGCUGGAACAAGGGGAAGAGCCAUGGGUCCCAGACCUCCAGGGUUCAGAGGAAAGAGGGAUCUUGAAAGCUCCCUGCACAGUUGAGGAAACAUUAAACCAACUCAGAAUCUCUUUGCUUUUUCCCCAUCAUUCCAUGAUGACACAGAGACAGUUCAAGUGCAGUUCUGUCAACAGGAGAGAACUCUCCAAUUUACUAAACAAGCUGACAAAGAAACAGCAGUGAUUUACAGUCUCCAUUCGGAAAUGGUGAACAACAGCAGAACCCCAACUAACUGAAGGAAGUGCAUAUGAUCACAAUGUAGUUCAAUUAUUGAAGUCAAUAUUGUCUCAGAUGAUCUGGGGAGAGAAUUUCAAGGUACAUGAUUUUGAACUAGGCAAAAUGCCUAUGUAUUUGGUUCCCAAAACAUAUGUAACCCAGGCCCUACAAAAGAGCUCUUCUAGCUAAUCCUAAAUUAUGGGGGAUGCUGCCCUUCAUGACGCAGAUGUUGAGGAAAUAGAAGUGGGUUUUUUGUUGAAUAUAUCCUUCUUAGGUGCUAAAAAUGUGUAUAAAAUCCAGUGUUGGAAAUCUAAUAGCUGCAGAAAAAUAGCUCUUUUUGAAUAGAAACUCCAGCUCUGGUAACUAACGGAGAUUCUGAUCCAGCCCUGUAUCCAGUCCUUUGCCUGGAACUGUGCCACCAAAUUAAAGAAAAGCUGGGCAUGUUUUUGGAACCAUUCCUCACUAACACUGCUGAGAUUUUGAGUGGUUUUAUAAAGGAUUCUACUUCAGAGAAUGUAAAUUUACCCUAACCAAGACCAAGGAUUUAGAAAGAGCUGAGGUUGAAAGAGUACACAUUCAGUUCUUGGUUUCCACCCAAGUAAAGGAAGCUAGGUGAGCAAUGACCUAAGGAAAAUUGUUUGUGCAACUCCUUACUAGUUCAGUGUCACUGAUUACAGUUCCAAUGGAUGCCAGGGUUAGAUUGAGAACAAUCAUUCUUCACCAUUUUGAUCCAAAGAGACAGUGCUUCAUAGGACAUUCCUUCUCGGUGGAUCCCAACCUGGCUGCCUGAUUGGGUAACAAGGAUUUUCAGGCUGUAGAAAUGAUAACCAGUGAGGCAAUGAAUCUGUCAGGCUCCAAUUUCAGACUUCCGGAUCCACAUAUGUUCAGUUCUGAUUCUAUUGUUUUGUGUCUGAUGCUAUGGCUAAACAAUAAAGCUGACGUUGUCACAGUUGCA